GUCAGGAUAGCUCAGUUGGUAGAACAGAGGACUGAAAAUC
rnacentral:tRNA from 1 species